GUCCCGCAACCAACGGGCAUAAUAAACACGAAGGAAGGGGUGGAUUCCGAGGAAGGGGUGACGGUUUCCGAGGAAGAGGUGGAGAUCGUGGAGGAUUUAGGGGUAGAGGUGGUGGUAGGGGUGGCCGCGGUGGUUUUGACAGGGGCGGUCGCGGAGGUGGUUUCGAUAGGGGUGGUCGUGGAGGUGGCUUCGACAGGGGCGGUCGCGGAGGAUUUAGAGGCAGAGGUGGUGAUAGGGGUGGUAGGGGUGGUUUUGAAGGAAGAAAAUCGUGGGGUGGAAAUGACGAGGGUGGCAGAGACGGAAACGGACCCAGAAAAUCGUGGGGCGGUGAUGGCGAAAAGGGUGGAAGAGGAAGAGGUGGCGGCGGAAAUUUUAGGGGUCACUCUAAUUUCAACAAACCAUCCUUUGGAGUUGAUGCACCAUCGCAAAACAAAAAAAUCACCUUUGACGAUUAAUCACUAGGGCUAAAUCUUCAGAAAGGUGCGAGAGGUUCGUGGGGUGAAAGGGCGAACCAGGACCUGAAACACACGAGGGGAAAGUCGUUCCGACACGAGAAGACGAAGAAAAAGCGUGGAAGUUAUCGAGGCGGACAGAUAGAUAUGAGUGUUAAUUCUAUUAAAUUCGACGAAUAGAUUAUGAUACAUAAUCUGCUGGUAUUUAGAUUUACAAAUCUCAUAUGUGAAAGACUUGUCGAUAUUUUAAAGAGCAGGAAACUCACAUAAUCUAAUGUAAUUGAGGAUCCUAUUGUAGAGAUUUUAAGCAGAUGGUGUUGACCAAUUAGUUGCAAAUACAAAUUGACCUUCGCUUUGGAGGGUGAGACCAUUUUUCCGAAUUGUGUUCGGAGCUGAUUUUAUUUUUGCUUUUUGCUCUCUAAAGCGAAUGAAAGAAGGAAGACGAUUAUUAAUAAUAAUAAUAAUCAACUUAUGUAAAUUAUUAUCGGCAGAUUAAUAAUAAUCGAUUAUUAGAAAAUAAUUAAUAGGUAUAGACAUCUCCACAAUUGUAUUGUGAUUCAGUAUCUCAUGCGUUUAAUUCAAUAUUGAGGCCCCGUUUUUGUCCAUGAAUAUCCCGUUCAAAGUCGAAUUCCAUUUCAAUUAAUAUUUUUAUUUUUCAUACAAUUGCAUCAACGAAAUAAUAGUUACAGCUUAUUUUAAGGAAAAGGUGAAUUUCCUAGUAAGUUCAUAUUAAAGAUAGAAUGUUGUAGCACAUGUUUGUUCUUCAGAGAUUUACCAGGUUUUUUUGUUUUUUUUCAAUGCAAAAUAUUAGAGUAAAAGAAAACUGAAAAAUACUGAUGGAUCGUGAAUGUUUCACCGCAGUGAAGAAGGAAAUGAACUAUUCUCUUUUGAUACAAAUUACAAGUAAUUUUUAUCGCAGGGAAGCCCGAUUUAUGCAUCUAAGUUAGAAUUUUGAUAAAUGUCGCAUUUAUUCUGUGUAAUAAAAAAUAUAAAAUUAUUAGA